rnacentral:rRNA from 1 species
UACGGAGGGGGCUAGCGUUGUUCGGAAUUACUGGGCGUAAAGCGCACGUAGGCGGCUUUGUAAGUUAGAGGUGAAAGCCCAGGGCUUAACCCUGGAAUUGCCUUUAAGACUGCAUCGCUAGAAUCGUGGAGAGGUGAGUGGAAUUCCGAGUGUAGAGGUGAAAUUCGUAGAUAUUCGGAAAGAACACCAGUGGCGAAGGCGACUCACUGGACACGUAUUGACGCUGAGGUGCGAAAGCGUGGGGAGCAAACAGG